CCAAAACAAUGAGUUUAGCCGCAAGAGGAUUAGGAUUUCGCAUUCUUAGCGAAGAGUUUCUUCUCUGAUACAUCGAUAGAGUUUUGAUGUUCUCAAUCCACGUUUUGAUAUGGUGUUAUGUCUUCUCUUUGUGUAAACGAAACGUCUCCCCUAAAUAAUUCAUCCUCUUUAUUUCAUCACCCCCUAAGAGCACGAUCUGUUUUUAAUGAUAGCAAAGAAGUUGUAGGUUCAUAUCUAUCGUUUCUGUUUUCCAUCAACAUGUCCUUCUCUGAUUCAAGUGGGCAUGGGACACCCGUGACAGUCUAACGACGUUUCAGGGUUGCUACACGAGAUUCUUGGAUCUACGAAAACAAAGAGAUUCAAAAGCUUGGAAGGUGCUUUCAAAAUAUCUACGGAGAGAGAAAAAUUUUGAUUUCUCAAACGAAAGCACUUGCAAACCAUUCCCAGAGUUUAUUCAUACAACAUCACCAAAGAAGAAAUAGUUCGUAAUUACAUGAAAAAUAGAUAGAACCAAUAGAUAGAAGAAGCUGUUGGAUUGGAAAUGGAUGACGAAGGAACCAAGGGAGAUAGAACCAAUGAGGAGAGUCAGUUCAAUUGAAUAGUUCUGUCCUGAGUCCUGACAAAGCCAGGACAGGCUGCUCUCUUGACCAAAUUUUGAUACACAACAAAUGUAAGAUUCUGAUAAUGCUCAUGUACUAAAUAUUUUGUCAUCAGGAAGAAUGCUUUUCAUUACUCCCAAUGACUUCACUGGGAAGGAUCAUGUAACCUCAAAUUAAUAUUAUUUCCUAAUUGCAGUGCAGACUGUUACAUCAGAUGAUCAGAGUAAAAACAGCUCAUGUGAGAACUGAUACAGAGAGAAAUGUCUCACCAAUGCAUAUAUGGAGGCUCUCCUUCUCCACAUCUUAACCUUGGCGACUGGACAUAACUAAUGAUAUAUUUUCAAGAUUACUAUGGUUGGAGUCUUGGAGUAUUGAACAUGUUAUUCCAAGGAGGAAUAUACAUAGUGUUACGUGCGAGAAUAGGCAUCACUCCUACAUUGCUGUGGCUGGUCCAGCCUGGUUGCAGUCGAUGCUUGCGAAAGCGGAAAUGCUUGAUACAAGAGCACAGUAGUUUUAAUCAGUGUCUUUUUAUACUGACGGGUCCACCCCGUUAGUUCUCAUGUUUUGUCUUUUUGGCUGAUUCAGUUACUCUGUAGCAAACUCUGUUUUGGUCUUUGGAAUCAUUGAAAGUGUUAAAAAGCAAA